ACUCGGCUGAUGUGUCCCAAAUAGGACGAAAAGUGCCUCCUGAAU
rnacentral:hammerhead_ribozyme from 1 species